GUGCUCACUUUGGCAGCACAUAUCCUAAAAUUGGAAUGAUACAGAGAAUAUUAGCAUGGUCCCUGCACAAGGAUUUUUAACAAUGGUACCAAAACCAU
rnacentral:snRNA from 1 species